CCUACGGGAGGCAGCAGUCGAGAAUCAUUCACAAUGGGGGAAACCCUGAUGGUGCGACGCCGCGUGGGGGAAUGAAGGUCUUCGGAUUGUAAAUCCCUGUCAUGUGGGAGCAAAUUAAAAAGAUAGUACCACACGAGGAAGAGACGGCUAACUCUGUGCCAGCAGCCGCGGUAAUACAGAGGUCUCAAGCGUUGUUCGGAAUCACUGGGCGUAAAGCGUGCGUAGGCUGUUUCGUAAGUCGUGUGUGAAAGGCGCGGGCUCAACCCGCGGACGGCACAUGAUACUGCGAGACUAGAGUAAUGGAGGGGGAACCGGAAUGCUCGGUGUAGCAGUGAAAUGCGUAGAUAUCGAGAGGAACACUCGUGGCGAAGGCGGGUUCCUGGACAUUAACUGACGCUGAGGCACGAAGGCCAGGGGAGCGAAAGGGAUUAGAUACCCCUGUAGUC
rnacentral:rRNA from 1 species